ensembl:rRNA 5S_rRNA 5S ribosomal RNA
GUCUAUGGCCAUGCCGCCCUGAAAACGCCUGAUUCUAGGUGAUCUCGGAAGCUAAACAGGGUCAGGCCUGGUUAGUACUUGGAUGGGAGAACACCUAGGAAGACCAGGGGCUCUAGGUG